rnacentral:misc_RNA from 1 species
UACGUAGGGGGCAAGCGUUGUCCGGAAUUAUUGGGCGUAAAGAGCUCGUAGGCGGUUCGUUAAGUCGGGUGUGAAAUCUCAGGGCUCAACCCUGAAACUGCAUCCGAUACUGGGGGACUUGAGGCAGGUAGGGGAGAGUGGAAUUCCUGGUGUAGCGGUGAAAUGCGCAGAUAUCAGGAGGAACACCCGUGGCGAAGGCGGCUCUCUGGGCCUGUUCUGACGCUGAGGAGCGAAAGCGUGGGGAGCAAACAGG